rnacentral:rRNA from 1 species
UACGGGGGGGGCAAGCGUUGUUCGGAAUUACUGGGCGUAAAGGGCUCGUAGGCGGCCAACUAAGUCGGACGUGAAAUCCCCAGGCUCAACUUGGGAACUGCGUCCGAUACUGGAUGGCUUGAAUUCGGGAGAGGGAUGCAGAAUUCCAGGUGUAGCGGUGAAAUGCGUAGAUAUCUGGAGGAACACCGGUGGCGAAGGCGGCAUCCUGGACCGGCAUUGACGCUGAGGCGCGAAAGCUAGGGGAGCAAACGGG